UACGAAGGGGGCUAGCGUUGUUCGGAAUUACUGGGCGUAAAGCGCACGUAGGCGGAUAUUUAAGUCAGGGGUGAAAUCCCAGAGCUCAACUCUGGAACUGCCUUUGAUACUGGGUAUCUUGAGUAUGGAAGAGGUAAGUGGAAUUCCGAGUGAUAGAGGUGAAAUUCGUAGAUAUUCGGAGGAACACAGUGGCGAAGGCGGCUUACUGGUCCAUUACUGAC
rnacentral:rRNA from 1 species